UUGGAAUUGCCUUUUUAUUAAGCUUUUGUUUUUUUACCCCUACAUUUCCACAAUCUUUUUCCUAAUAAUAUCUUCCCUCUUCUUUUCAUCAUUGCUUUCUUGUCUCCUCCUCUUUCACUUUUGUUUGUUUAUAAAUUAAGCUCAUCUCUCUCUCUUUCUCUCUGUUAAAAGCUAGGGUUUUCUUAUAUGGAGUCCAUGUUCUUCAGUGAAGCUUUUUCUUUUGAGGGGAAUGUUGUCUGGCACGAGGCCCUUAACUUAGAUCUAUAUUUGAUUUUAUGUCUCUUCUUUAUUUAUUAGUCUAUAUAUACAUGAAUGAUCGAUUUUAACGGUUAAUGACGUCGGACCAGGCUUCAUUCCCCUCAAUUAUAUCGCUUCUUCGAUCUUGGCUUCUUCGAGUAAUCAAUCUACAGGAAUUUUUGGGGUUACCUAAUCUCAAGUGAUAAUAAGUUGUAUAGGUUAAUUAUAAGUUUGAGGUUGAUAGUUGACUUCUGACUUAAUUUUAUAGCUAGAAGAAAACAAGAGCAGAUUCUUCCUUAAUUUGUGUAUAUAUGUACGUGAAUGACGAACAAAUAUAUCAUACCAUAUUCAUAAAUU